AUACUUACCCUGAAAGGGAAGUAUAGUGAUCACAAAGGUAGUUUUCCUAGAGCGAAGUUCAUCCAUUGUGCUGCAUAUGUACUGAUCUUUCAGUUUUUCCCAAAUGUGAAAAAUUCAACUGCAUAAUUUAUGGCAGUUGGAGACUGUUUGCCUUCUCCCC
ensembl:snRNA U1 U1 spliceosomal RNA